rnacentral:misc_RNA from 1 species
AUGAAUGUAUUCCGAAUUUUGACACCGUGUGUAUUGCAACGCAGACGACCAAAGGAGGUUGAUAAUUCUGAUAAAAGGGAUUGCUGGUUCGUGAAAAGACGGCGUGGAGAUGCUUCCUACAUGAUACAUAGAAUGGGUGCUUCUGCAUCGUCAAGCAUCACCAGUGUAGGUGGAGAUUCGAUUCAAGCAGCUAGACUUUCAUCCUCUGGUAAUCCACCUGAUCAACAUGGCAUUGCUAUCAGGGAAAAGAAGAAGAAAAUGACGGGGUUCGCGACAUUACGAAAGAAAUUUAUUCGAAGACGUCGGUCUUCAAAGGCCUGCGACCAUGGUAGGAUAAUCCGAGAUUUGGUCUCAACAUGGAGUCAUUUAGAAGCAACUGCGCUUCUAGAGGAAUAUGAGGCGUUAGCUGCAUUAAAGGAUCUCCAUGUCCAAGCCGAAUUAGCUAGACCACCAGCUGCCACAUAUAAACAGGAUUUGUCGAAGUUGUACGACUAUAAACAUUGUUCUGAUGUGGAUCUCGUCUACCGAGGAGCAUGCUUCCCCGUACACAGAGCCCUGUUGUCGGCGCGUUGCCCGUACUUUAGGGAUUUGCUAGCUGGAUGUCCGGGAUACGGUGCCAGAAUAUGCUUGGAACUAAGAACACCAAAUCUCGAAGUACAAAUGUUCUCAGCAUUGUUGCGAUAUCUCUAUACUGGUGAUAUUUGUCCACACGAUGCAACGUUGGAGGCGAAUCUCUUGCGACGACUGAGCGAAGAAUUUGGGACACCGAAUCCGUUGGAACACGAUCUUAGAUACCUGCUAGAUACCGGUGAUUACGCGGAUGCCGCAUUAGUGUUCACAUCGGAUAGUGAUUACCAGAGACCAGAUAGUGGAAGUUCAGAAUAUGGAUUCCGGCCAAAGUUAGAACUGCCAUGUCAUAAAGCGAUACUUUCUGCGAGAUCCCCGUUCUUCAGAAAUUUAAUACAAAGACGGACUAGAUCUGGAGAAGAUCACACAGAAAGAGCGCUUCAUAUACCCACUAGAAUAGUUUUGGAUGAGAGUGUAAUACCCAAACGAUAUGCCAGAGUAUUGUUACAUGCAGUAUAUUUAGAUACCGUUGAUUUAUCUUUAAUUAUGAGAGGUAAUGGUUGCGGGAACAGCGCUGGUAGUCUUGGAGAGGUUCAGGCUCUUACGCACACUGGCCGUGUUCGACCAAGCCCUUUAGAAGAAGCAAUGGAAUUGUAUCAAAUCGGCCGAUUUUUGGAGCUAGAUAUAUUAUCACAGGGUUGUGAAGAUCUUAUUUUAGAAUAUCUUACAUUGGAAUCGCUUCCAACGGUUUUAAAAUGGGGUAGUCAACCUCAUGGAUCAGCAUGGGUACAUAGACAAGCAUUGCAUUUUUUAAGAGAAGAAUUUCAGCCAGUAGCUUCUUCUUCUAUUCUUCAUCAAUUGGAUCAUGCACAUUUGGCAAAUGUUUUGCAAAGCCAUUUUUUGCAAGCGAGCGAACUUGAAAUACUGCAAGCGGUACUCAAGUGGGGGGAACAAGAAUUAGUGCGUCGUAUGGAGGAUCGGGAACCAAAUUUGCUCAGCCAUACGGUACAUUCUGUAACUAGAAAAGGAUUGAAGAAGAGGGAUCUAAGCGACAUAGAAUUGCGGGAAAUACUUAGUGAACUUUUACCACUUGUCAGAAUGGAUCACAUAUUACCCCCAAACAGCGAAGCCCUAGCUCAAGCUAUUAGAAGAGGAUUAGUUUCAACUCCACCCAGUCAUAUGAUAGGAGACGAAAGAGAAAAUUUACGAAUGAAUGCAUGGAUAAGAGGAGGGAAGAAAAAUGGAUUUUUUGUAAGGCCACGCUUAUUCAUGCCUUAUUACGAAGAAAUAAAGUCUUUAAUUGAGGAACAAAUGGUCCAAGAAGCAGAUUUAGUGAGAUUACGAAGGCCACGUUACGUAGCUGAUAUUCCCGACGCCUUGUAUAUGGUUGAUGAGAAACCGAGACCAAUGGGUACAGCCGGUGUGGAUGUUCUCGCUGCAGCAUUCCCAGUUCCAGAUUCCACGACCUUGGCAGCUAUGAUGAAACGGGAACAGAAAUUGAGACAAUCCCCCAGUUGUCAGAGAGCUAUUAGUUUGCCGCUGUCGUCACGUCAUGAAAUUAACAGACAAGUACGACUACGUGUUGUAAGAGAAUUCAACUUACCUGACACGGUAGCAGAUCUCUUAGAGAAUACAGCUGCAUAUAACGUGAAAGAACAAAAUGAAAGGCUAACUGAUAUCGAAGAUAUGGAUUCACCGGGUUUAGGGAUCAAUGCUAGAACAGUUCCAUCAUUGUGCUAUGGAAGAAACAUGACGUUUCCACGGCCAGCCUCUUCUUGCACUCAUAGACAUGAACUUCCAGCUAUAGUCACAGAAGGCGAAAGUUGUAGACUCCUUGCUGAGCAACAAGAGAACAAUUCGUGUAGCGAUGGACAAUUGUCGGGUGUGAUGCCGGAUGUUGCGAUGGCGACGGCCUCUUUUGGAGCGUUGCAACUGAUAGAGGAACAGGAGCUAGAGUUGGAUUUAGGGGAUGGAACUUCCCAUCUCUUGCAACACGUUUCACCUUCGAGCGGGACGAUGGGAUCCCACAGAUCCUCCCUUCCGCAUCCUCAUCAGAGGCAUUAUACUGGCCCGCCUCCUCCACCAUACAUGUACCAUCGAGCUGGCACUGCCUUACCAAGAUUUAUUUAAGAUUAUUUUUACGAGAUAAGAGGACUGUAUGGCAACUAUAAUCACCCCUAAAAAGGGUAGUUCAUUUAACGAACGAAUAUGGAAUCACCAGGUGUACUCUUCAUGUACUGCCAAGUUUGUUCUCUCAGCAGUUAGAUUAGUGAAGAAAUCUCUCGGUUCGUCUACACGAAGAUUUUAACGAAAUUCAAUGGAUUCAGAGGUUGGAUAUUUUGAUUAAAUACCACAAUAUUAUCGCGCCUGUACAGGAUGUUUCUGAAAAUUAUUUAGGAUUAAAGGAUGUUUGUGAAAACAUUUAGGAUUAUUUAUGAAGUUGGCUGAAAAGUCUUUUUAUUUUUUUUUUUAAAUUCGUUUUUGAAAAUAUUUUUAUAUUCGAUUUUAUUAGUAUUAUAUAAAUUUAUUAGUAUUUAAUAUAGAUAUUAUUUUCAAUGAAAGCUUUUACUUGAUCAUUAUCCAUAACAUUUGAUCUAGGAAGUCAUAUUUAAUAAAUUUUAUAAAUAAUUCUUAUCAUGAAAAAAAAUCUUUUUUAUAGAAGAAAAUUGAUGAUGAUAAAACAUGUGAUCAUUUAUUGCAUUUCAUCAUAUGUCGCAUGUAUCUUUUAUUGAACUUACGUAACAUUUUUGUCUUCAUGAUAUAAUAACAUAUCUUGUUAUCUUGUAUUUAAUUUAGUUAAAUAUAAUUUAAUUGGAAUUUUUUUAUACAUUCUAAAAUGCAUUUAUUAAGCAUUUUUUCUUGUUUUAUAAUAUCAAUUCAAUCUACAAAUUUGUAUAAAGAAUUACAAUUUCCAUUUAAUGAAAAUACAUUGCAUUUUUUAUAAUAAAAUUUAAUUUAAACUAUUUAAUUUAAUCUUUAAUAUUAUUAUAUAAUUAUAAAAUUAUAUUUUAUCCAUAUUAUUCAUAAUACAAAAAUCGCAGCAAUCAAUUUAAUACAAUAUUUGAUUAUAUUUAUUUGAUUUUAAUAUCAAUAUAAAAAAAAUCAUAUGGAAAGGAAUUGAUAUAAUCAACAAUCUAAUGAUAUAAAUUUUGAACAUAAAACUUUUUGCAAUCCAAUAGAUAAAUUAAUUAAAACGAACUAAUAUUUAAAAAUAAUUUAUUUUUUGAAACAUCCUAUACAGUAAUAAAAAAAUAUAUUAAAAUAUUCUAAAAUAAUACGUCCAAAUUUCAUUAUAAUCUUCGACACCAAUCUCAGGUUUUAUGUCAGCUAGAAAGUUCAAAUUUUAGAAGUAUUUUAUACUUCAAUGAUACGCAAAAUAAGCGUGUUACCUGCGAGAAAGUUUGUUUUAAUUACUUUAUAAAAGAAGACCUAAAAGGUGAACACUUUACGCAGGUUUCGCGCCAAAUAUUCGAAAUUAUUUACAUAGUCAACAAUGAUUCGUUGACGAUUGAUUGGUGAGACAUCUGCCGAGGCGUCUGUGAUGCACGAAGAUGUACUUCUUGUGGUUCUUGACGCGACGAUGACUGUACGUCGAUGAAAACUUCGUUCUUGCGGGUACAAAUUUACAGUUACGACGAAGAAAUAAUUAAAAGGUUUCAAGUAAAGGAGCUAAGUAACGGAAAUUGGACUACUUACCGGAGUUUCCUUUCGACCUACGAUCUUACACUUAGAGCGUCCUAUCAUACCGUAUUCGUACAAGCACGAGCAAUCUUUCUCAAAUUCUACGUUGACGAGGCUAUCUGCGAUCCUCUUUGCUGCCACUUGAACGAAUUGCUUCUUCUGAUUCGACUUGGCGUCCAAGAAGUUGUUAGAGCUGAACGCGGCACCGCCAGACUGCAAUGAUAUGAUCUCAGAUGAAGAUCACUUGUUGAACACUUACGAAAACCGCGAAGUCAGCGCAGACGUCCUUGAUCGCCGGUACGAGAUUGCUCUUCAUGUCGGUGCUUCCGGUGAGUGGCUUCUUCUUGCUGUCAGCGAACGUAUACACGUUGUCUUGGUCGUAAG